CUCUUUACUAUAUAGGUAGUAUUAACGUUAUGUGUUUUAUAAUGUAGUGGCUAAGCUUUUACAAGAUAUUAUAAUGUUCGUAUUACUGAAAUGUAUUAGUAAUAUAUAUUUAUAUAUGUAUAUUAAAGUACAUGAUUAGUGAAAAAAGAUGUGUGAGCAAAUAAUUAUGAUUCCAUAUAAAGUAGAUUCCCGUUUCAACUCUAACUUAAUUCAGUAUACAAAACGAGAUGUCGCCUAUUCAUAACAAUGUUCGAGAAAACUUGAAGUCACGAUUCAUAGUUUCGUUUUAUAAGUUCAGGAUGGCAUAGAAGGAACAGCAGGAACGUUAAAUUUAUUCGUGUCGAGCUUCUGGGAGGAUUGACUUUUCUACGUUCAGAAAAACAUUUCGUAGUUCUUUAUUUCCUAUUUCUUCUAAUGUAUUUGCAGUUAUUUAACUAGAUGACUGUCCUAUAAGAAGAGGAACAGUAAUCUUCGAGUCUAUCAGUUUUCCUGAUCUAUUGGCGCGAGAUGUCCAAAAUAUAGCAUUUUAGACACUUCAUUGGUCACUCUUAUUGUCGUCAAGACUAUUUCGCAUGUGCUGACAAGUUGCCACGAAAAUUUUUCGUCCUUGUAAUUGCAGAUUAUUAUUGUGUAAUCAUUUGUGCAGCCAUGAAUGGGUUAGUCGUUGUUGUAAAAAAUUGGUCUGUAUGUAAAAUAGAAAAAGAAUCGUGAAGUAAACUGUUUUUCUGUUAAUUUGCAUUUGUUUGCGUUUUGCGAUUUCAAUUAAUUUUUAGGAAUAUGUUAAUUAGAUUGCGUGCAAAGCAGUCAUAGAGUCAGUAUUUGUUUGUAAAAAGUUUUAUUUAUCUAUCUCUUAUAAUCAUAUAAAUUCUUUUCAAAUAUAAAACAAACGAUAGAUAUUUGUGAAUUCACUUUAUCGUCCGUCUCUUAAUUACUAAAUUAUCGCGUAUUAGAGUCAGUGCAUCAUAACCUUCUUGAUCAAGAAUCAUUCCUAUAGGAGAAUAAUAAUCAUCAAUUUACUACAACUUCCACCUAUUUUAUUUUCAAUCUAUCUAAUAUAAAUCUACUUCAUUGGUGAUCUAUUGCGAAUUAAUCUUUAAUUUCGACCUAUGACAAGGAUGAGUGUUUUGGACCCAUCGCAGGUCUUCUUAAUCAGUGAGUGAAAAAAUUUAAGCUUUUCCAGUGCUGAUCAUGGCGAGGAUGAAUGAUCUGAUUCAUGGUAAUUUUUUUAAUAAAUUAUUGACGAACGUGAUUUUUAGUAAUUCUUUUUUCGGAUUUCUUCAAGAAUAAUAUAUUUUUAAUCGCGUUUAAACUGUUUUUUUUUUCUUUUUUUUAUGCAUGUCAAUUUUUAUUAGUUCAGGAUAGCAUUUUCUUGUUUCAUUGGUUCAAAUUGUUUAAUUAAUAAUGCAAUUUAUUAACACCUGUUUUGUUUGUAUUUUCUUGCGAUAUUAAUGAUGAAAUUGGACAUUAAUUCACUGGAUAUUGUUUAAAAAAAUAGUUAUAUAAUAUAUAUUACACUCAUUAUUUUGUAUUUAAUCUAUUUACUUGCGAUCUAGAUUCCAGAUAUCGAGAUAUCAAAAAAAAAUAAGCAAGAAAAUAAACACGACGGGUAGAUUCUGAAAAUCACGUGGCGAAUUAUAAUUUAAUUCUUUUAUUACAAUAGCCAUUUGUGUGGAGUCGUUCGAGAUUUGUUAAGUAUUUUUGAAUGAAAUAUUAAUUAAAUAUUCAAUCAAUUUUAUUGAUGAAAGAAGAAUCUUAAUAGAGCCAUUGCCUAAACAAAAAAAAUCGAAUAAAAAUAAUUGCUAUAAAACAAAGAGACUUGUAGAAUCAUAAUCCGUAAACUAAGUUAAUCCAUUUUUUAUUUAGGAUUUUUUGGAAUUAAUAUAUUCAUAUGUGUAACAAACAGUUAGUUUGUUCUAAUAAUUUUAGGAAUUGUUAUUGUAUUAGUGAUUUUACAUAUCGCACCCAAUGCGUGCGUAUAUUUUAGAUGAUGAAUUGUACAUUAUUACGUGAAAUUUUUCAUCGCUUAUAUACAUGGAAAACACAUUUCAUUAUUUUGAGUAUCGAAUUAACUAAGUGAUAAUGAAUAAAAACAAAUAUUCCUAUAUUAUUAAUCGAGUGCGUACGAUUGUGUAGAAUUAUUUUUUUAGAUUUAACAAAUUUAUUGCGUCGGUUGUUUUGAGAAUUUUUAUUUGUUGAUACGAGAUGAAUAGCCAUUAUCAUGUUAAUAAUAGAUCGUAUUGAAUUUUUUGAUGGUAUGAGGCAACAGUGUUCCGUAGAAAUUUCUACUGAAUGGCUAUAUUGUACUUUCUUAUUUAGCUGUAUAGGAUUACCGUAAAUAUCGUACAUCUAUUCUGAGUUUUAAAAGAUUCAUGGAAGAUAGUGAACAGUGUAAUAAAGUGUAUGAUAUUUAUUUCAAUCUGAUAAUAAGAUACAUAUUUUUUUUAAAGGUUAUUUGAUCGCUCAUGGUAGGAUUAGGUAUACAUGAAAUGUCGGUAGGUUUAGCGUUAAAGGAGAAUUAAAGAAAAGUAAGAAAUAAACACCAAUAAAAAUAAUAUGAAGUGAUCUUAAAUAAUAAUACAAAACUUUUUCUUUUUUAUUAUGAUUAUUUGUUUGAUUAAUAUAAUGAAUUAGAGAUUGGUGCAUUUUUUUGAAGCAUGGUAUGCAGUAUGUUAGUUUUCCACUGUAUUUUUCACAGAAGGUUGUGACUUUUUUGCAUAUUUUAUUAUCUAUUGCUCAUAUUUUUUCUUAAUUCUUGAUAACAUCCUUCAUACAUUCUUUUUGUGCUACUUACACCAUUGUUUUUAGCUAAUGAAUGGAUUCGCUCCUUUCGUUUAAUUUUCUCUUUUCAGUUUUCUUUCUGUUUCAACCUUGUUUUCCUGAUAGAUACUGGUAAACCUUUUCUAUCAGGUCUUAAUGUCCCACAAAUUUUAGUUUUAUUUUUAAUGUAUUGUUUAAAUAGCAAACUUUUUUUCCACCUUCAUUCCUUUCCUCAUUCAAUUCCACUAACACAAGUGCAUUCAGAUAUCAAGUGUUCCUGAGAAUUGUUUAUUAUUGGUUGCGUGAAGGGCCUUAUCUUAUACAAUCUAUCUUUGCUAUAAUCAAUCAUAUUAUCCGUGAAAUGCAAAUACUUUAACAAAAGUAAAAAUGUAUCUCUUAGGAUAAUUUUUGAUAUAAAUUCGUUAUGGAACAAAGAUUUUUUUAUUUACAACAUUUACUUACUAUUAUUCUUUUAUGGAAGUGAUUCUUGAUGCAUAUCUUGAUGUACUGAUAAUGCAUUAACUAUGCGUACCGAUCUAAACGUACCGAUGUCUCAUAUAUUUCUACCACAGCGGGUGAAAUGAUCUAUCUUCAAAAAGUCAUAUAUUUUACGAUGUAUAUAUUGUAAAAAAUAUACCAUUUAUUACAAUUUGGUGUAUAAAUAAAAUAAUUUUAUCCAAAUAACGAUUGUAAAGAACAUCUGCAGAGGCCAUCUUCGAAAUUUUGAUUUCAUAGAGUAUUUUGUCCCCAUUUGGUUCGCCAUGUUUACAUUUAAUUUAGUGCUAUUAUAGAAUCUGAUCGUUUUAGAUAUACACUUAAUACUCUUUUCAGUUUUUAUAGAUUUACGUUUUGAGCUUAGUAGAAGUACUUUUUUAUUUAGCUUUUUACUUUUAUAAAUUGCAUGAAUCGAUUUAUACAAUUUUGUUGAGCCUAUAUGUAUGACGUACUAUCUUGCGCCUGCGUUGGACAAUUCCAACGAUAGUAGUUUUUUUAUCUAGUAAUUUUGCAACUAAUAAUAUGCUCGUAAAAAAAUUAUCAGUGAUGACGAUCUUUUCCAUAUCACGUAGACGGUUCGAUUAGUUUAAGCUUUUUUAGUUCUAAUUCCUCCAAGCAGAACUGAAGAUUUUCUGUUUUCAUUUUUUCUCAAAUAUGAAAAUCCAUUUAUAAUAUAUUUAGUGCUGACGAGAGAUGCUAGUCUUAUUUUUAGUCUAAACUUAUUUAGUUUGUUAGACGUAUAUUGUUGCACGUAAAUUUACACCUCGUUUUGAUUGAGAAAAGUUGUUCACCGAUAAUCACAUGUGCAUCAGGCUUGUAACAAUGAUAGCUAUUCUGAAUGAAUUUGUACCAUACUUCAAAAAAAAGAUUGGAGAUUUCAUUUUUUGUUCCAUACAUAUGAAAUAUUCAUAUUUUUUGCACCACGUGCAUAUAAAAGAAUAAUAAAAGUGUCGAAGUUUGCAACAAUGAGAUUCAAGUUAGUUCCUAAUAUUCAAAAUGCCUUUGCUUGUUUUUUUCAACAUUUUUGGUAUAAAAGUUAUCAACUCAAUAAAGAAAUAAGAAUUUUUAACUGACAAAAUAACUGUAACUUGGAAUGAUCAAGCUUUUUACUUAUACGUUUGCAAAAAAUGCUGUAUAAUCACCGAAAAAAGUUGCACAUAAAACUGAGAUUUCAUUAAAUCUAGAUGAUGGUUAAUGAGAUAGCAGCAGCUGUAGCUGCUAUGCAACUGAAGUGGACGCCGGAUGAUUAAAGCAGAUUUAUGCACGUCGGCGACGAUGGUAACAUUAUCAUGAUGAAAGCAAUACCCAAGAAAAUUGACAUGCAUUCGACAGCAGAAGAAGCGAUUAAGAGGAACCUUGGAUAGGUUCGGGUCCAAUCCGAUGAUCAAAAAACGGCAAAUAAGUGCUGAGGAUCAGACGAUGGCGAGAUGAGUAGAUGAGAAUUGAGGAUGACUUCAAUCUGGAAACAGCUAAAUUAUAAAAAUAAGGAAUUACGUGUUUUUCUAUAAAUUCUUAAGAUAUGGAAGCAUGUGAAAUUCGAUGAUCUCUAUUUCUUCAUUUGUCGAAGGAGAAUCGAAGUCGGAAGAAAAUAAACUAACGAUGUUAAAAAUACACAACUCUACUAGUUGACUGGAUUGUGAGUAUGCAUCAUUACAAACAAUUGUUUUGAAGGCACUUAAAAUUUUUUCCUAUUUUUCAAAAUGUAUAUGCCCCAUUUAUUUUUUUUGAACAGUGGAUAUAAUAAUGUGGCUAUUGUUGCGAUUUCCAAUUCAGAAAUAUUCAGAUUCAAGAAUAUUUCAAAUCUAUUGUUUUUGAAUGAGGCUGGCAAGCAUUCCGCUAAAGGCCUGUGAUAAAUUAAAAAUAUUUCUUCUAUAGUUAAUUUUUGCAAUUUCUUUUGAACAGCUACUAAAUAAGGCAACAAAAUUUUGUAGAAAGUAUUCUUAUUGUUUUGAAGAAUAUCCAAAGCUUCUUUUCGUAUUAAAAUAUGAUGACAUUGUAAGAGAAUUCUUGACUACAAUUUUGUUUGGAAGAUAUUUAAUACAUACAAAAACAACUUUUUUUGAUCCUAAACUACUUUUUUUGGGAAUAAAUUUGAAAAAUUUUCCAUCUAAGAAAAUUGAAAAACAAUAUUCUCCCUCCAUUUCUUCUCCUUCAUUCUUCAUGUAUGAUGAAUGAAUGAGACUUUUUCAUCAAAAACUGAAAGUGCAAUGCUGUCAAGUUGUUCAUGUUAUCAUUUUCUUGCACAUUAUAUAUCUUACAUUGAGAAAAGGAAAUAUACCGACGAAAAAAAGGAUAUGCAGUACAUACACAUACAUGGAAUAAGGAUAAACAUGAAAGAUAAUUUAAAUUAAUUUUUCAUAAUUUCAUAAUUCUAUUAAACUGCAUUCCAAAUAUAUCAAAUUUCAAUUAAAAUGUAAUUUAAUGAAAAGGAAAGUAUAAAUGAUUUAAUAUUAAAUCUAAAUAGUUUAAAGCAUUAUCGGCCUUUGGUUAAUAGAAUACUUUCAUAAGUGCACAAAUCUUUGUAUUAUUACUCUGCAAUAUCACUAUUGAAAUUACUAUUGAUAUUUUUGUUAAUGGAACAUCAUUUUUUAUACUGUUAUUAUUAAAAUGUAAUAUUUGCAAUAAUAUCAUAUAUCAAUCUUGUGCCAUUAUUUGCAGAAAAAUAUUGAUUUUUAUUAUUUCAUCAAUUGAUUCGUAUUAAUUUAGAGUCAGUUUAAUUUUUUAAUUUCAUAUAAUUGUGCGUCUUUUUUGAUGUGUGAAAUCAAAUCUUCUCAAUAGAAAAGUUUGGAAAUUUCGAGCAUUGAAAAGCAUUUAAUCUAUGGGUUCAGUUCUAAUCUAUGGGACAGUUAAAUUUUUUUCAUUAUGGUAUUUUAAUUAUUAAAUAUAUGCUUUAUGCUUUUGAAAUUAUUUCUCGAGCAUGACGAGUUUGAAAAUAUUUCAUUUAAAUCGAAAUUCUCUAUAUUUAGAUUUAAGUCUAAAACCUCCUCAUUGGUAGCAAUCCAGACGCAACCCAGUACUCUGUAUUUUUAAUUGGUGUACAUUUUUCCCUUUACACCUUAUCUUUAUUCAGUUAUUGAUGCUGUUCUCCAUAUCUUCGGAAUUAUAUGGCAAUUGAACAUUGCUUCUAAUUCUCUAUAACUGCAUUUCAAUCUGCAUUUCAUUGUUACAAUUCUCAUUCAAAUUAGAUAUUUUAUCUAAUGUACUAUCGCUUUUUGUAAUAAAUUCUUCCAAAAUACUGAUCAUUGUUAAGAAAUUAUAAUAAUAAAUAACAAAAUAAAAAUUACUUGCAUUGCAAACAUAAUAUGACGAUAUAUUGUUGUAUAUAUUAUAUAUAUAACGAUCAUACAUGUCGGUGGAGGGAGUGACUGUUUAAGAAACAGAAAGUAAAAAUCCAUCAUCAACAGAUUCUCGUUUUUUCCGUUGCUAUGUAACCAAGAAUGUGUCCAUCUUAAACAUUGACGAUUGUUGCGUAUCUAGGUUGAAAAAGAUAGAAAUACUUACCAUCUGUACAUAUGCGUUCAUAGGCCACACUGAUAAUCUUCAUUGGAUGCACAUGUGCAUCCAUAUUCCCAAAGCCUUCACCGGACGCAUAUAUGUAUGCAUCUAUAGCAGUCCAAGGAUUAAUAUGUUAACGUUAAUGAAUCUGCCUUUUCGUAUAAAAUGAUUUAUUCAAACUCGUUUCCACUUUUAUAAUACUUAUUUAUUGUCCGUCAGUAAUUAGAUUCCCUACCGUCAUAAAUUAUAAUUUUCUUUCUUGCGAUUGAAACACAACGCCUUCUUGUUCGAAUCGUACACACGAAUAAAUAAAUAUCAAAGAAUAUGAUUCAUAUAGUUCGACUAUCCUAAUACAUUUGGCUUUUGAACUUAUUUUUAUCUUUUCUUUCAAACUCAUACAUUACUUUCAUAUACACGUGCGUUUGAAAAGAUAUACUGUUCACACGCUUUUAUUACAUCUGAUAUGUUUUUAUUUUUACACCAGGGACACAUUUUUGUAGCACUUCUCGUUCCUGCAUACGAUCUAUUUGCAUCUAAAGAUGUAAUUAUGUUCCUGUCGUUACGCAGUAUUAUCACUGUUCCAUAUUAUCCUUUCAUACACGAGAUUAAUAUGUUUGAUACACUCAUCUUAUUUUUGAAGUUUCUAAUUGGCACAUAGUUACCUUCUUUAUAUUUGCGAGGUUUCUGAUGAUGCUUAUCGUAGUAUUUUCUCAUGGUAUUAUGAGAACAUUUUAUGUCUAAUCUGGUUUCUUCGUUAUUUAGAGGAUUCACUUUUUCGUUAUUCUGAUUUUUUCCAACGGAUGAUUCUCCCAAAGUUUGAAUGUUUUAUAACUUAACUUCUUUCAAAAUCAUUGAAUAAAUUAAAAAGAAUAUUAUUCUGUUUUAACCGUCGGAUAGUAUUCUAUCUUUGCUUACUUCGUGACUGACUAUCUUCAUGAAUUUAUAUGCGUGCAUUCGUCCUAAUAUAUUCCCGAGAUAUUUUGCAGAGAAAGCUAAACCAACCUACAAGAUCGGGAAAUAUUUAGGAUUAUAUCUUUGUUCUUGAGCUGUAGGAAAUUUAGAAUACGAUAACCUAGUUUUCGAUUUCUUUAAAGCAAUGCUUAUUUUAUAUAUUUUAUCCGACGAAGAGUAUAUAAAAUAGAGUAGUCGGGAAUUGGAUAAUUUUUAGACGAACAUUGCUCUGCUUUCGCUUCUUGUUUAUCAUUAAUAGGCUGUCUAAGUUUUCUCGUACUAACGUGGAAUUUCAGCUGUUCUCUCAUACCCUUGUAAUUGAGCUUUGAUUUCCAUCUUAGAAGAAUUAUAAGAUAGAUAGGAUAAAAAGGAAUCAUACUGGAAAUUCAUAUCUAGCAGUGUUCUUUAGCAUACAAGUAAUCAUCUAAACUAGAUAAUAUAUUCUUCUCGGAUUACUCGUAAAUAAAAUUAAUGAUUGACCAAUCUGUACGAGUACUUUUCUGUUGUUCGGUGAUUCUUUCAGGUAAUUUUAAACCACUGAAUUACCCAGGUGCUUAAGUUAUUCUUCACAAGAGUUCCUAUUAUAUGUAUAAAUUUGCUCUUGUCUUCACAUAUUUAUCAACAUGAUGUGCUCGUUUUAGUCAGACAAGAUGGAAGAAAAGUUUUUCCAUUACAGUUCCAUUUUUCUUACAACUACCAUUAAAGGUGCAGUGAAUAGUUUUUAUUAGUGGCCACUUCAGGUCACUUAGUCACAUUAGGUCACUUGUAAAUUGGUGGCAAAAAAAAUAUUGCAUUUAUUUCAUGGACUUGACGUAGGUGAUAUUAGUUAUGUGAAGAAGUCGAUUCAGAUCAAUUCAGUAUUCACAUUAUGUUCAAUGUCAAGAUGUUGAUCUACUAUCAAUAGGAGCUACUUUUAUUGAAAAGGAAUCAUAUAUUGAUAUAUAAAUAUAUAGAUCCAAAUAUUGAUAUAAAUGAUGUAAAAAAGUAUUUUGGUCGAUUUGUUUUUCAAUAAACUGAACGAUUGCUUUUUGAAUGUUCCCAUAAGAUUGGAUUACCACUGUUGAACUGUAUAAUCAAAACAUAUAAAGAUUAUUUUUUUAUUUGAUAAUCAAUGAAGAUCGAUCGAUCAAAUUUACUUGAUAAGCACAAAGUUACUUUGCUAUAACCAGAAAGUGAUAUUUGAUACAUUUCUUCAUUGAAACUAUAUGCUAAUUGACUUUUCUCAAGACUUUAGACUUAAAACCACAAAAACUCGUAUAAUUCAAACUUGUAAACUUUCAUAAAAUUAUUUUAUAAAAGUUGUUAUAUGAAAUAAAAAUAGAGACUCGAAAUACCAACAUAUAGUUCUAACAACAGUUCUUGUAAAGAUUCGUUGAAUAUAAUAGAACGGAAGAGAACCUGGACAAAUUCUUAUAGAAUUUAUUCUCUUCUGUAAUUUAAUAACUGUUAAAUCGUCCAAUUUUAUCCUAUAUUUUGGAUAUAGGUGUAUGUGAUUAUAUCAAUAUAAGGUAGAGUUGCAUUUAUAUUGUUAUUAUAUGCUAUUAUAUGAUUAUAUGAAAUUAAAACGACAGAAAUUUCAAUAGUUUAUUUUCAAAAAAAUUUUGUUAUUAAAAAUUUUUGAUUGUUGGAACGGAUCUGUCCAUACAUUAUGUUCUUCUACAUUAACUUUUGGAAUUUAUAAACUCUUUUUAUAUAACGCAAAUGAGAUGCAACCCAGACGCAAUGAUUUUCUGUUUGAUCUAAAAUGUGUACUCUUAGAACUGUCAUAGUCAUCUUAAAUAGCAUCUGAAAUCUCAUACAGUUGAGUGAUGAAUGAGUUUAUUAUCGAUUAUGAUUUUACGCUGUAUCAGAAUAUUCUAUAACUUCAGUCACCUUUGUUUUAAAUGUUUCCACGUAAGUUUCUUGAAAAUGAAGCAGUAUACGCGAGAUAACUGAACCAGAAGAUGAACUAAAAGCAUAGAACUCAAAAUGCUGUAAAGUUAUCCUUCUAAUAGGAGGGAUCUUGGAUUUAGCGUUAAAUAGCAAAAUUGUUCGAAGUGAAUCUACGUAGAUAAACAGUGAUAACAUAUCUGGAUUCAAAAAUGUCACCGAAGACGAUGAGAUGAAGUAAAUAGAUUAUGGAUAUAUGCAGAAACAGAAUAUUUUCAAGCUAUGAAGCUCUUCUGAAAGUUGAGCCUGAAAGGUCUAUGACUGGACCACUCGGGACGAUAAUUGCAACUUGCUAUUGUCAUAACCAAAUGCCAAACUAUUGUCAUAACGAGCUUGAAAAUUGAUUAGGAUGAGCGAUUUCAAAGAAUCAUUUGGCUAAAGAUUGAUGACUCGUUUGGUAAACUGUGAAGCUCCUAUAUGAACAGCAUAAAAGAAGCAAGCCGAAAUCGGUUUAUUAUCGAUACGCAACAUCUUGACGAUCGAAUCGCAAUCUAGCUGGAUGUCUUUAGAAGAAACAGCAUAUGAUGGUGAUCGAUAAUGUUAUGCCGAUGAUAAUGGAAAAUUAUCUAUAUCAUAUGAUAGUUAAUUUGCAGAAUUAGAAAUAUUUUUAUGUUAUGGGCUUUGUUACGCCUAUUUCUGCAUUUUUUGAAAAAUAUUCUUCUUUUCGUGUAUCUUAUUUUGAUGAUAAUGGAAAAUUAUCCAAGGUUUAAUAUCCAAGAGUAAUUUCGAACCCGUGAAGCAUAUAUUUGACAAUCAAUACAAGAUUUAGCUAAAUUACACAAGAAAUAUCUCAUAUUAGCAUAUCUCAAUAAAAAUUCAAGAGCUAUACCUUGCUAAUCGAGAUAUAUCAAUCGACAACUGCCAUGUUCUUUUAUUAUGCCAUAUCGAGUAUGUGCGUCCAUCAAAAGAAUGCAGUAUACUAGCAGAGAGUAUACUAGUAGAGACCAGUAGCAGAGCAGUAUACUAGUAGAGACGAUCCAAUAUGUCGCCCACCGGUAUGUUUAGCGGAUUUAUUAAAACAAAGGAAGAAAGGUCAUUGGAAAGCAGCGGAUACAGUUUGUAAAUGGGAUGAGGGAAGUUUUCUAACAUGGACGUUGGGAUGCAAGUGUUGAUCUGGGAGAACGUUAGCAAUAUGUCCCACAACUCACCUUGCAGCAUAGGGCAAAUUGAUCUCUUUAAUCCGCCCCAAGGUUCCUAGCGAGAUAACUGCGGCAGAUUGUUGCAGAGUAUAUAAAUACUCUAAUGAAAAUAGUUUGUGUCAUCAAAAAUGAUGAUGGAAGAUAGCUCGAGCCAGAAUAUCGUGUGCGGUGCAGAACAUAUUUGACACCCUCUCAAUGAAAAA